UUAGCAGACUUAUCUUAUCGUCCUGAAUUUAUUUCAGGGAGGAAAGUCCGGACACCAAAGAGUAAUUAUAGCGGAUAACAUCCGUCCAACGUAAGUUGAGGACAAGUGCAACAGAAAGCAAGUACAGUUAGGCUGUAGUGAAACCAGGUAAACUCUAUGAGGUGCAAUGUCAUGUAAAUUAGAGCUUGAGAGCUACUCGCUCGAUUCUAAAGGGUAGGCAGAUAGAUUCUAAGAGUAAUUUUAGAACUAGAUAAAUGAUAAGAACCUUUAUUUUUUAAAGGAACAGAAUUCGGCUUAUUAGUCUGCUUUAUAU
rnacentral:RNase_P_RNA from 2 species